ACUAACAUCACAUUUUGAGGAAAACUGAAUCACAGGAUUGCUCCCACUGAAGCCCCGAGUAUCAUAGGAGAUCUGACAACAUGAUGCCUCACCCCACCCCGUCUUUACAAUUUUGGUGAAGCCAAUAAAGUGCAAGAAUUUAAUGUCAUGAAGAAUAUGAA